AAAGAAAUUCCAAAUUCAUAAAAUGUUAAAUCCAAAAUUUGGAAUCUUUCAUAAUUAGCCCCACUAUAAACGGACCAUUAGGGUCCGUUAACAAAAAUAGCCAAUUAAAAAUAAAAAUAUUUACGUGUCCCCAUUUUUCUCCUAUUAUUCACAAAAAAAUCUCUUCUUCCCUCUAUUUCUCUCCAGUUCUUUCUCUUUCUGUCUCUCUUUGGAUUUUGUUUCCUUCGAAAAUCAAAGAGCUCAAGCUUCUACGGUGAGACGUGACAUUGAGGAAGUUGAAUGAGUAUCAAGAGUGUUACAAUUGUUUUAUGAAAAUAAGUUAGGAAAAGAAAAACUAAGAUUCCUAGUUGUUCUUUAUGUGUGUGUUUGCUCUGAAGAUUGAUAGUGUUGAUGCAAAUGCUGAUUAAGGUCAAUGAGGACGAGAUUUUCUAGAUUUAGGUGUUUAUGGAAGUAUUGAUUAUCCUUCCAAGCAUUUAAAGCUGUGGGUACAAAGAGUUUGGUAGUUUAGACAUUGCAGCAGUAUGGCUAUUGCUGGUCUACACAAUGUUUCUGUGCUCGAAAAUUCUUUUCCAAGAGAGUCUCAGUCUCAACCAUCAAGGUCAAGAAGGCGGGAAAGUGGUAGCACCCGGGCAUCCUCAAUCUUGCAGAUGUGGCGGGAACUAGAGGAUGAGCAUGUGGUGAGUCACGCUCAAGAGAGAGGAAAUAAAAGAAUGCUCCAAAAAAGGACUGAUGACCUCUCGAUGACGGAUUCUGACAGCCAAAAUGAUGAACAUAUUGUUGUUCCAGAGGAUAUGAGCACGAGUGUGAAUGAGUUUGGACAAUGGUCCCAAGAUCGAUUCAGGUCACGGAGUGGGAAUGCGGAUUCAAGUAAUUUUAAUUGUGAACACUCAUCUGAUUUGGGGGAAGUUGAAAGGGAAAGGGUAAGGCAAAUCUUUCGGGAGUGGAUGAACAGUGGUGGUAGGGAACGUGCAUCUAAUGUUUCCCGUAGAAAUAACAGUUCAAGGGCCCAGUUGCUUGGUGAAACUGAGCAGGAGAGAAUCAGACCUAUAAGGGAGUGUGUGCAGAUGAACAGUCAGCAGAGAGGUGCUUGUAUUCAGAGUAGAGAAGAGCAAGCAGCUGAUGCUGGUGUCAAUAUUGAACAUGUUCUUGAUGGAUUGGAGAUUAACCAGAAUGAAGACCGAACUGAGCAUGUGCAUAGGGGCAUUCGGAAAUUAUGUGGCCGACAGGCGCUGCUUGAUAUGCUUAAAAAGGCUGCGGGAGAAAGGCAAACAGAGGUUCAGGGGUUGCUGGAGCUUCGGGCUGUAUCAAAUUUUGCCCAUCGCAAACGCAUUCAGUCAUUGUUGAGAGGUAGAUUCUUGAGAAAUGACAGAAGGGUUGCUGGUGACAAAUCUACCUCCAUAGCAGCCAGUGAAUUGGGCCUAUUAAGACAAAAACAGACCGUAUCUGGUCUAAGGGAAGGUUUUUUCUCCAGAUUGGAUAAUUCUGGUUGUGGUCCUGCAAGCAGUAAAUAUUGCGAUACACCAUCUAACUCUGACACUAAGGGUAACAGAACAGAACAAAACCAUGUUGAUGAUUCAAAUGAAGUCAUAGAUAUUUUAAAUGGACAAUCUGAACGUGAGAACAAGAAAACUGACAACCAGAGUGUUUUGGAUGGUAUAACUGAUUUAGUGGCUGAUGUUGUUGAAGAUGUAAGUUGGCACGACCAAAGCGGAGAUGUUACUGGACAAGUCCUGGAUGGGGACUGGAAAGAAACUAAUGUUAGUGAGUCAUCCCUUGAAGCUUCACAGAAUGAAGCUCGAGAACAUUGUAACAUAAAAGAAGUUGGUGAAGCAUCUCAUGAACAUUUUCCCCAAGAUGGCGAGAGUGGGACCUUUGGGUUAAUUAAUGUCGUAGAAAAUUUAGAACAGAAUCUAGUUCAAUAUAUUGAUGUGCAAGAAUCUGCUUCUCAAGUUGAACAACUGCAGGAGGAUGAUCAGGAAAAUGAAGACGCAGUGUGGCAGGAAGCUAGUGUUGAGUAUAAUGUAUCGAUGGAUGGUCAUAAUGAAGAAGCCUCUGGCAUGCACCAUGAAGAUGGUGGGAAUGACGAUGGUAGCUUGCUUGAGACAACACGGAAUUGGUUGCAAUGGUCUUAUGAUCAAGAACCCGGUGGGAGAGCAGACGCAUUUUAUUUUCCUGAAGAUAAUGUAGAGAGUAUGGAGCUCAGGGAACUGUUAGAUAGGAGAAGUGUCUCUACUCUUCUUCAUAGUGGUUUCCGUGAGAGUCUUGACCAGUUGAUGCAAUCAUUUAGGGAAAGGCGAAAUCAUCUCUAUAUUGACUUGGAGCUAAAUGAAACAUCUGCUACUCCUGCUUCAGUUGAACAAGAUGUCGAACAGCAAAGCAGGGCUCAGAGUGAGGGUCAGGGAGAUGCUGAGGUUCCUCCACUUGCUCUUCCUUCACCUAGGUUGCCAUACACUCCUGCUUCUGUAGAACAAUACAUAGAAUGGCAUACCAUGGACCGGAAUGACGGUCAAGGGAAUGUCGAGGUUCCUCCACUUGCUCUUCCUUCACCCAGGAUGACAUAUAUGCAACCACUUUGGGACCAGGAUUCAUACCAUUAUAAUUGGGUUCCACAUGAUGUGCAUCAGCAGUUUGGAAUUGAGUGGGAUAUCAUUAAUGAUUUGAGGUUUGACAUGGUAAGACUGCAGCAAAGGAUGAAUGGCAUGCAGAGGAUGCUUGGGUCCUGCAUGGAAAUGCAACUCGACUUACAGCGAUCAAUAAGACAAGAAGUCUGUGCUGCCCUCAACCGUUCAGCUGGUUCACGAGGGAUGAUUGAUGACAGCUCGUCCAAGGAUGCCCACAAUUGGGAUAAUGUCAGGAAAGGGCUCUGUUGUAUAUGCUCCAAAGGCAAUAUCGAUUCACUACUAUACAGAUGUGGGCACAUGUGCGCUUGCUUUAAAUGUGGCAAUGAAUUGGUCCAAAGUGGAGCCAAGUGUCCAAUGUGUCGUGCACCGGUAAUUGAGGUCGUCCGUGCUUACUCAAUCCAAUAAAAAGAACAAAAGAAAAAGAAACAAUUAUAGAAUCUCUCAUCAGCUUUUGCUUCAGGAUCACUCCAGGUUGUACAUUUUAUUAGAUUUUGUCCUUGGUGAAAGCUCCUGUUGCCCAACUGUCAAGACCGUUUUGUGAAAAAAAAUGUUACAACUAUUGAAAACGUAUAACAAGAUGUAAUUGUAUAUUUUAAAAAAUUUUGACUUUUUUGUAUGGUUAUAGCGGUUAAUUUGUGUCUGUUAAUAUGUGUCGAAAUCUUAUCAUGUGUCCUCAUAAAUGUUAUCAAUUGGAGAGGAGGAUUGAUCAUUAUACAGUGUCCCAAACAUUACACAAACUUCGGUCUGAUGGUUGAUAUUGCUUUCUUUUAAGUCCAACAUUCCUUGAAAAUAAUGUAGAAGCUGUGGUUUUUAAUACAUCAAAAUAA